GCACCAGCAGUUUCAGAACCGCAGUCACAGAACCGCAGCCACAGAACCGGAAGUGAGUGGCGGAGUUAUUGACAACGAGAGAGCACGUGUGACAUUCCAAUCAUACGGAGAUGGUGGACUCCAGAUGGUUUUCUCUGAAAGUGCAGAAACCCUACAAGAGGCCCUUCCAAUUGGAUAACAGGCUACGCUUGUGAGGAGAUCCCAGUAAUCUCACAGAAGUUGUGAAAUGGCUCCAUUAAACAGACAUCUGCUCAGGGGGCCAGUGGAAGAGCCUCUUUUCCUUAUAAUGGAGGAAGAGGACAAGGAAAAGGCCCUCAAC